UACGAAGGGGGCUAGCGUUGCUCGGAAUUACUGGGCGUAAAGGGCGCGUAGGCGGACAGUUUAGUCAGAGGUGAAAGCCCAGGGCUCAACCUUGGAAAUGCCUUUGAUACUGGCUGUCUUGAGUGCGGGAGAGGUGAGUGGAAUGCCGAGUGUAGAGGUGAAAUUCGUAGAUAUUCGGCGGAACACCAGUGGCGAAGGCGACUCACUGGCCCGAUACUGACGCUGAGGCGCGAAAGCGUGGGGAGCAAACAGG
rnacentral:rRNA from 1 species